rnacentral:rRNA from 1 species
GAUGAACGCUGGCGGCGUGCCUAAUACAUGCAAGUCGAGCGAAUGGAUUAAGAGCUUGCUCUUAUGAAGUUAGCGGCGGACGGGUGAGUAACACGUGGGUAACCUGCCCAUAAGACUGGGAUAACUCCGGGAAACCGGGGCUAAUACCGGAUAACAUUUUGAACCGCAUGGUUCGAAAUUGAAAGGCGGCUUCGGCUGUCACUUAUGGAUGGCCCCGCGUCGCAUUAGCUAGUUGGUGAGGUAACGGCUCACCAAGGCAACGAUGCGUAGCCGAGCUGAGAGGGUGAUCGGCAACACUGGGACUGAGACACGGCCCAGACUCCUACGGGAGGCAGCAGUAGGGAAUCUUCCGCAAUGGACGAAAGUCUGACGGAGCAACGCCGCGUGAGUGAUGAAGGCUUUCGGGUCGUAAAACUCUGUUGUUAGGGAAGAACAAGUGCUAGUUGAAUAAGCUGGCACCUUGACGGUACCUAACCAGAAAGCCACGGCUAACUACGUGCCAGCCGCCGCAGUAA